CUCAUGUAUAUAAAAAUAUUUUAGCUUCUUGAAGCUUGAUGGAUCCGGUAACUUUCCCAAAGAUAUAAAAGGGACCUAUCCAAAGUGGCCUUAACAAUUUUAGUCUGCCUUGGAUCUCGACCACUUUAGGACAUCACCGCAGAUAAAAUUUCUGGAGCUUCUUCAGGUUGGUCAGGCCCGCAACUUGUACAUAGAUUGAACUCCUUCAACCCUUUAAGCCACGCAGGUUCUCCAAAAUUUGGAGGCCUCUGAACUCUCUCACUUUAUGGCAAUGAGCAACUUCCAAAUCUGACAGCGCCUUCAAAUUUGAAAGGCCUAUUUGAUGUUUCUAUUUCCCUCCAUGAUUCCAUAUCCAAGUACGACAAAUUUGGGGGAAGGCUAGGUCGGCAUUGCAGCUUCUUUCGGGGGACCAGUUCAGGUUCCCUGAGCUGUGAAAGAAGAAUGAUGUCUGAAGAUGGGGUGACGAAAUAAUGAGAUUCCAACAGCAAGGAUUCCAGCUUCCUAACCUUCAGCUACGAAGGACUUCGAACUUCAUGAAUUUAGAAGUACGUCGAAAUUGUCAAAACCUGAAUUUUACAUAUAUUUGAAUAUCGAAUUAAUAAGUAAUUUAACAUCAAGUGAAUGUGCGUGUGUGUGUGUGUGUGUAUAUAUAUUUUAUUACGUUAUAUAAUCAAAAUCUCAUACAAAAGAUCCACCUUAAAAAGAUGUGUUAAGUCUAAAUGUCCCUAAACUCUGAACCCGACCAAUAUGUUUAAUAUUUUAGAGGGAGUGAGUCUAAGCUCAGUAUAUGAAAGCUCCACGUCCAACAUAGGAGGCCUCCCCACCACUCAACCCGAGAACACAACAGUAUAGUAACAAUUAGUGAAUAAGGUCAUAUUAUCAUUGUCAAUAGGAAAACCAAUAUUCACCUAAGAUAGGGUAAUCUGUGCAUUAUAUAAAAAUGACUAUAAUUAUCUGUGCAAUGAAUAAAAUAGAUGCAAUGUAUGACAUUCGUUUUAACAGUCAAUUGCACACAAAUGAUCAUACGAAAUCUCAUGAUGCUUAGAUAUCAGUAGCUCAUCAAUCUUGGACCUCAAGCUUAAAUUAUCACAAAUAGACUAUUCAAGUCACAUCAGAUUACAGAAGUCACAUAAUUUAAUGCAUAUAUAGUUGUAAUUUGUCUUCUCAAUCCUAUAGAGAACAGACAUCUGUCUUUUCCCAGAUACUUAAAUACAUACUUGGAAAAAAAUUAAUUACAAUGUCAGUACAUUGCUAUCAACACUAGUAGAAUCUCAAUGGAGUUGGUAAUAUACUUAAUAUGGGAAACAAGCACACUUGGAGAGCGCAGUACAGCGGAGAGUUGUAUGCUCCGUUCGAAGGUAGUGCUGUGAAUUUACUUACGACACUGGUAAAAUUUCAAAUGAGUUGAGAGCAUACUACAUCAUUGAAAUAUUAGUGAAUUUCUGAUAGUGCUAGUAAUUCACUUACGACACCAGAAAUUUCCAGAAGAGUCGGUAAUUUACCAAUUUAGUGAGAAAUUGCUAAAUUUCUGAUUAAUUUCAGUAAUUUACUACCUGUUUAACUAACAACAAGUAACCAGUCAUUUUCUUUUACCCAACAAUUUCAAAUUUGCUGGUAAUCCCACCAAAAAUCUCAAACAAUGAAACUAGGAAAGCAGUUAUGAAUCAACUCAGAAGCGACUGCAGAAAUCUGUUUUAAGUCAUGAAAACUAAAGGACCUUUGCGACCAUUGCACAUGAUCAUUUACUAGGGAGUGUUAUGUUUAUGCUAGACACAAUGUCUUGCCCCUACUUCUUCAUUUCUUCAAUGUGGAAAUUUUCAUGGGAAAUCAGCAACAAUUCUGUGAAUAUGGUUGCUGAUGUCUGAUUGAAUUCACGACACUGAAUGCAGCACAUUCUCAGGGUAAUGUCUCGAGAACAUUAAUCUCUACAAAUGAAUUCUGCAGCAAGGCAUCUGGAAGCCUUGAUGAAUUUCUUCCACAACAAGAUUUAAUCACUAAGUACACCAGCUAAAAUUUUAGAAGUAAGUAGGACCACAACAGACCAAGAGAAGAAGAAAGAAAUUGCAGAACCAAUCGAUUAUAGUAAGAUUCCAUGCCUUCCAGGACAAUAUUUCGGUUUUAGCUAGACCUUGACAAGCUCAGAAGAACAACUGAUUCGCCAUGUGUGUUCUGAACUAGUUCCUAAGGAGCAAAAAUCAAUCCCCUCAUUGGUGCAGAAGUGAACUGACGCACAGGAGUUGCAAUGCGUUUCAAUAGAAUGUGACUGGGUUAAGGCUAAAGCUAUUAAAGAUUAGAUGCAGAUGGAACAAAAUCAAUCGAGUGAGCUGCCGAGCGAGUUCAUCGAAAGGCUGUUUUCAUUGCGUAUGUAUGAUUAGUCAUGACUGAAAAUGAUAAAAACCAACUCAAUCCGUUCAAAAUAUUUUCCUAAUCCAUCACUGAUUGCAUCGAAGAUUCGCACGCAGACCCAAUUCAUGCAAAUGCGAAGAGAAAAUUACCAGAAGAAAAGAAUAUAGGCGAAGAUGAAGGAAACCAAAUGAAGAUGCAGAAGGAAGAACCCUCGUGGGCCUCAGUCAGCUGCAACCACAAUGGAAAAGGAAGACCACAAUCCAUUAACCCCUCGGUGGGAACAGAUCGGCGGGCAGGAAGACGGGGUCGCAGUCUCCGGAGGGAGAUCUCCGCCCAGUCGAAUCGCGUCUCGUUCUCCUCUCGGGGUCGCUGUCGCUGCUGGUUCUGGGCGAGCUCCUCGCUCGGGUCGUCGCUGAUGAGGCAGGAAGAUGAAGGAAAGGAGAAGGAAAGAAUGUGAGAAGACAGAUAGGGGGACAACGGGAGAAGAAAACGAAACAAAAAAUAAAAUAAAAAAUAAAAACAGAGAGAGAAAAAGUAGAACUUUCUUAAGAGUGGGUCCUACCUUUACCCGUAAUUUUUUCUCUACAAAAUAUCCCCCCACGUAUUUGGUAUUCUCCGUGAUUUCAGUACUCUGAUCCUUUUUCCUCGGAAGGGUCUCCGCACUUUUUUCAAAUCUCGGUACUCAUCGGAUUCCAUAAUCUCCUCCAAUCUCUCAGUCUUUUAUUUCCAAAUCCUCUAGCUUCUUGAAGCUUGAAGGAUCAGAAAACUUCUGCAAAGACCCACAGCCAUCAAUACAAAGCGACACCACUGACUUUAGCCUACCUCGUAUCUCAACCAGACGAGGACAACGCGUUAAUUCAAUAUCCUUAAGCUCCUUGGCAUUGGUCAGGUCAGGCAACUUCUCUAGCAACGGAAGAUUCUCCACACAUAAGACCCUCAAGUUCUCCGAAACUUCCAAGCCUUGAAUCUCUCUUAGCUUCCGACAACCAUUUAUAUUCAAUUCUUUUAUAUACUUAAAGCUUGAUGGAUCAGGCAGUUGUUCAAGUGAUUCACAAAAAAUUAAAUGGAGAGACUCCAAUGAUUCAAGCUUACCUCGAACCUCAACUAAUUUAGGACAAAGUUCUAUCUUAAGUUCCCAGAGGUUCUUCACUCUGGUCAGGUCAGGUAACUUCACCAGCAACGGAAGACACUGAAGAUAAAGAGUUUGUAGGUUUUUCAAAGAUUCGAUGCCUUGAAUCUCUAUUAGUUGUCCACAAAAACUGACAUCUAAAUAUGAUAACUUCUCCAAAUAUGAAAGAUUUAUCGACUUUUCCAUUAACCCACGCCCACCAAAAUGGAAGUAUGUCAAAUUCUGAGGAAGCUUAGGUAGGCAUUCUAGGUUUUUUAUGAAGAGUUGAAGCAUCUUGAGCUUCGAAAGGAGAUUAAAAUGUGAAGGUAGGGUGACUAGACUAUCACAACUCAACCACAAGUACUCUAGCUUUUUUAACCCUCCGAUCCAAUUGAGGCUGCCAGCUGGAUGGGAAGGGCUUUGAUUCUUUAAUACCAAAAACAAAACUCUCAAAUUUAAUAGGUUCGAGAGAUCCGGGCAUCUCAUUUGUACAUUAUCAAUCAGGUAUAGUUUGUUCAUACUUUUAGGAAGCUUAGGUAUAUUGGAAAUUUUCGUGCCCGAUAAACCCAAGAUUCUUAGAAAUGAUAGUUCUCCAAUCUCACUUGGAAUUUCCCCACUCAAAUAUGUACACCCAACAGCAUGAAUCUCUUCAAGCUUCUCCAACAUCCCAAGGGUGCUAGGUAGUUUCUCUAAGAUGCACUUAGAGAUGCUCAGUAUUCUCAAAUUCUUCAUCGUCUCUAUUGAGUCGGGUAACUCUCGUAAGUUUGACUGAGAAAGAUCUAACUCAACGAGAGAUUCAAAAUUUCCAAAUGAAAAUUCUCUAAUUCUUGUAUGUGACAAGUCAAGAUAUAACAGUGAUGUUGAGCAACCAGCUAAAUUGCAUUUACUCAAGAAGCUACAUGAAUUUGCACUGAGAGUUUCCAAUUUCUCCAUUCCUUUCCAUUCAGGAAUGUUGGUAAUAGAUGUGUGAUCAACAAGAAGUUCUGUCAAGGCUUCCAGUCCCUCCAUCUCGUCUAGCAAUAUUGUAAGUUUCUCACAACCUCUCAAGUCUAAUGAUAUUAAAUGCUUUAACUUACCAAUAGAUCUAUCAACUUGAACCAGUUUUGUGCACCGUUGAAGAAUCAAUCGUUCUGAAUUUUCAUGAGUAGAAAAGUCAGGAAUUCUACGCAAGUUUUUGCAUCCAGUCAAAUUUAGAACCUUCAAAUUCUUUGCCAUCUGUAAUGAAGAGGAGAUUAAUUCUGAAUCAUUUUGAGAUAUAGGACAGCAAAGUCAAUAGAGCAAAUUCAUGUCAAAACAAUACUGUACCUUGAGGUCGUUCCAUCCCUCCCACUCAUCAGUAAUUUCACUCCUUGAUAUAUCAAGAAUCAAUAGCUUCUUAAGAGAUUGUACAGUGAAUUUGAAAAAGACAGGAAAGUUAUCCUAUGAGAGCCAUCUCAAAUUCGGAAGCAUGAUUGGAUUCCUUUGGCAAAAGACAGGAAAGUUAUCCUAUGAGAGCCAUCUCAAAUUCGGAAGCAUGAUUGGAUUCCUUUGGCACAAGUUGGUAGAACAAAAAUGCUGAACGUUGUGCUCAUCCAAGUCUACAUGAUCCACUUGAAAUCUUAAAUUUGGUGGGCUUACAAAUUCUACCUUGAUGUCAUGAAAUGGAUUAUCAAAGUCUACACAAUCCUCUGGAAGAAAUGUUAAAUAUGUUUCAAAUUCUUCCUUCUCAAUGGAAACCUGAAAUUGAUGAUCAAAGUCUACACGAUCCACUUGAAGAAAUCUUAAAUUUGAUAGGCUUACAGAUUCUUCCUUUCCAAUGAAGUCCUGAAAUUGAUGAUCAAAUUUGAGACGUAUUGCUUCAACAUUCUCUCUUCCCUGCCAAAGCAAAAAAAAAAAAAACACGUUGAAGGCAUUCGAGUUGAACAACCUUGACAAAUAUACAUUUUAUUUAUAAUUUAAAAUUAAUUUAGAAUAUAAUUUAUAGAUGAGCAUAUGAUCGUGCUAAAGCACACAAGUAAUAACUUGGUUUAGAUAGAAGCAAAUAAGUAAAGUCAAUGCGUAUAACUCGUCUCUUUGAAUAGGAAUAACAUUGCAAACACGUUACCUCCUUUAUGUUAAGAACAUCAAUUGCCUCCUCAUGAUCCCACACCCGACUUUGCUUUUCUGGUUUAAAAUUAGCUCUUUCAUGAACGAUCUCUCGCGCAAGGUCCCUUAGCUGAUCAUGCACCCACAGCUGAUUACCUUCUACAAUCUUCAUUAAUGACAUCCGUUUGAGGGCUUCAAGAGCACAUUCAGGGAAAAGCUUACAGUUGUCUCACAUGUAAGUCACAAUUCUCACAUCAAACCCAACAAAGAAGCAAGAAACAUCAAGAAAUAUUUCCUUCUCUCGAUGUUCUAAUGCCUCAAAACUGAUUCUCAACUUACUUUUAACGUCUUUAUGGGGAAUAGUUUUCAACCUUUCUAAUGUGUUCACCCAAAAUUUUGUAUCUUUUCCAGCUAAAAAUGAACCUAUAAUCUCUAGAGCCAAAGGAAGACAACCACAGAUUUCCACCGCUUUUUCUGAGAGGGAGAUGUAUUCUACUGGAAGAUGAUCUCUUCUAAAGGCAUGUUUGCUGAACAAUAAAAGAGAAUGACUAAAAUCCAUUUCAGUAAGUUCGUGCUUCAAAUCAACAUCUUUGAGAACUUCCUCGUUUCUUGUAGUAAUAAUAACCUUACUUCCUCUGUCGAACCAGCAUUCACCCAUCCCCACAAGAGCCUCCAGUUGAGUGUUUUGGUCGACAUCAUCAAGUACAAGUAAAACCUUUUUAGAGGAUAACCUAUUCUUGAUCACAAUAAUUCCUUCAUUAAUACUAUUGAUGGAUGGCCAAUCCAUUCUUAGGACUUUAGAGAUGAGCUGAUUCUGCAAACUCGCAAUCUUUGUCUCUCGAAUGUUAGACAGGAAGCAACAAUUAUCAAAAUCAGCCGACAGUUUAUUAUAGACGAUUGUGGCAAGAGUUGUCUUUCCGACACCACCCAUACCGUGGAUGCCAACAAUCUUUGUUCCAGUGGUCUGUUCCCCUAUCUUUUCCAUGAUUUGGUCCACUUGAUCAUCCAUUUCAACCAAGUUAUCAGGUUCUGCCAAGUUGUCCUUUUUUAACUCGAUCAAUAGUGUCCGAACAACUUCUUCUGUGAACUCACCUUUGCCUCUGAUGGUAUUGAUGGCAAAAGAACGCAACUGUUAAAUCAAGAUGAGCAGAAUACUAUCUAAGGUACAAACAAAUCCUGAACAAUAAUAAAUUUAAGUACCUUUCAUUGAGUUCCCACCCUCUUAACGCUCCAACCUUGCUGAGAGCUGCCUUCCAGUUUUGAAUAGUCUCAUCAGUGUACCGCUGCCGCUUAUUUAUGUGUGAAUUAAUGGCCUCAUGGUAAUUUCCAAUUUGGUGACGAACCUCAGAUGGUGCAACAUUAUAGAAAAUUGGCAUGAUCUUUCGUCCCCACUUUUCCUUGCACUCCACCAUCUGGACCAACUCCAUGAGGCACCAUACACUGGUAGCAUACUGUUUGGAUAAGAUAGGAAUCAAGAUUUCUGACUGCUUAAUCGCUUGGACAAGCUCUGGGCCAAUCUCUUUCCCAAUGGGAAGCUCUUCAUUAUCUCUAUAUGCCCGUAUUCCAGCACGAAUGAGGCUGUUGUAAAGGUAAUCGGCAAUGUCACAGCGAGUGUCCGGUCCUCCGAAACUCAAGAAUACUUCAUAACCAGAUUCCGUUGGCUUCUCCAUUUUCUGAAAUCCCAAAGGACUUGCAAUGACCUGAUAAUAUUCCACAUGAAAAACAUUUACUAUGAAAGUGGAGUGAUGAUUAUCAUGAUUUCUCUCAUAAUCUCUUCUGUUUUAAAUCAUUUUAGAAAGAAACCAAGAUGAAAAAUGCACGAGCUCCUUCGUGGCCUUGCACUACACACCAAAACAUGUCUGUAUAUUUUAUUAAUCAUAUAGUAGAGAAGUGGACCCAUCUCAAUUCUAAAGGAAGAAAUUUCCAAAGUAUUGCAGAAUUAUGGGUUAUAGUUUACACCUGAAAUUGAUUCGAAAGAAGAACAUUUCAAGAAGAUAAAUCUCUGUCAGCUUAUUUUUGUCUUAAACUCUUUUGUUUAUGCGAUAAAAUUUCUCUUAAAAGGUGACCUUGAAUGUCCCCUGCACAUAAGUGUCUGCUGUUGCUUAUAGGUUGACUAAUUAUCUUAUUGUCUGAUAAGAAAUUAUGAUGAAUCCUUACUCUUUUAGUUUUUACCAAAAUAGUUUGACAGACAUUCCACAACCCUCAAUUAGUUGCUCCCUUGAUCUUAAAGGACGCAGCCAAAGAAUCGCAUUCCCCUAUGAUGAUCUCAUUGGAAAAGUGAAAUCAAGAAAUUUAACUGAAGCUAAUUCAAUCCUCACCACUGGACUAGUUUCUAAAGAGCAUAAACUGAUCUCUAAUUACAAUCAUCUCUUAGUAUAUUAACAUACAGGCACAGGGUCAAGGGGAGAGCAUUAGAAGCUAUCAUUCCCAUUUGUCAGAAAGUAUCAGCAUAUUAGAAAAAGAGGGGUGAAUUACUAACCAACAAUGGAGUUGAUGAUAUUUCAACAGAAGAAAGAAGCAUGAAUGCUAUAACUGGUUUUCCAGAAACUAAGUUUGAACACACAGGUGUGCAGGAACAAGAGCUGUACUUUACGGAAGUGGAGAGUUCCGGUUCACCACAGACUGCAACACUAUAGUCUAUUCAGUCUGCCUCUACUAUUACACACUAAGUUGAGGGUUUCAAUUUUCUGUCUGGAAGUGUUCUUACCACCUAUCACCAGACAACAGUGUACUAGUGUCACGGGCCGAAAGAUGGACGACCCGGGAGGUUCCCCGAGUCGACCCCAACUCGCCUGUGGACCUCGCCUGUGGACCUCCUGCUCUCACUCGGAUUCCCACCAAACCUUCUACUCGAAAUCUCCAAGGGCGGGCGAAACUGUCAUUGAGUCAUAUUCUAGAAGUCUGUUCCAUUAUUUAUGUCGGUAGACAGUAGUUAGACAUUAUGUCGGUAGUUGAAGCAGUGCGAUCUCGCCCGUUGGAUGAAAAGUAGAUCAACGGAUGUAAUCCGAGGCACUCAACUAUAAAAGGGGGUCCUCCCUCAUUUUGUAAUCAUCCAAUCCAUUUCAAAAAUAUCAAAGCUUUCCAUUCCUUUCAGAGCUCCUCUCUCUAACUUUCUCUCUCAACGAUCCGGGUAAGCGAGCGGGUAACCGUUCGAUCGAGCAAGGCUUGGCUUGGGUGAUCCAAAGUUGCCCGAGUCGCCGCGCGGUCACGAUCCCAAUUGAUCGGCCCGUGACACUAGUCUGUUGUAUCAAAAGUCUCUUAGAGACACCAGUAUCUUUGGUCGCACAAGAAAAAUCCCAUUAAAUAAAUCUAAUCAACCGAUUCCAUUCAAAGUAGUUCAGAGCGCCAGCCUAGUUCCUAAAGAGAGAAAUGCAAUCCCUAAUUACAGAACCAACAAGCUGAUGCAUAGAAGUGCCAUUGCGUUUCAGGAUCUGAAGCCUGACAGUUGCAAAAAUGGAUGCAGAUGAGCAGGGUUUAAGCACGUGACCAGAGUAAAAGGCUAAAACUACUAGUGUUUGAGGCAACUAGCAGUGAUCAAUCAUGGAGUCAACUGAGGAAAGAAUUGACGGUGAUCUGAGAGUCCCUCUCUUGUUUCCAUCAUAUUCCGCACCCAGUUGCAUUACACAACUGACCCAAUUCAUUAAAAAGAAGGCAAUCAACGAUAGGAAAUUACCGGAGAUGGGAGGGGUGAAGAUGAAGAGUCCGGGUCAAAUGCCGAGAAGCAGAUAGAGAUGCCAAGAAUGAACGUUCUUGGCUUUCGAGUUCAGAUGAAGAAAGACUUCUAUUAUAUACUCUACUCGCCCUCACGUGCCAUGCUCAUCCAAGAAGGAGACUCGACACUCACCCUCAUGUGCCGACCGCAGGUACAGAAAAUGAGUGAACUCGCCUUUCUUUUGAGGCAUUUGAGUUUUAGGUUAGGUUGAAAUUUCUCCGAGUCCAAAACAGUUUUCGGCUCAAAAGUCCUGUUAGUUUAGAGAUCAUAAUGACGACGAAACCUUCUUUCGUUGGUGAAAUCCUAGGCCCAUUUAAAUUAUUCAUUAAUCAAACCUACACAUUUUUAAGUAAUUUAGAUGGAUUAUGACGGAAAGUUAUUCACAAUAAAUUUACGAAACAAAAGUUAAUGAAAGUUGCAUCAAGCUACAAGAGGAUCAAGGUCCUAUUUGUUUCGUAAAAAAUGAAUAAUUAAAAAAAUAUUUUUUAAAAAUAAUUAAUUAUAUUACUUGAAAUCAUCAAUUAAUGAAAAAUAUUUUCAUUAAUAAUAAUUAAUGCCUAAAUAUUUUCGUGAAAUAUUUUUUAUUUAUUAAUUUCUAUAAGUGAUGCAAGUGAUCAUUUUUCAGAAAAUAUUUUUCAAAUCAUUCAUUUUUUGCAAAACAAACAUUCUUUAAAGCUCCAAAAAAUUUGUUAUGCAAAUGAAAAUUCAUCAACCAUGGAUGGUUCAAGUAAAACUUCCUAGAUAUGUGCUGUUUUCUCUUUCCGUUCGCAAUUCUUGGGGGCUCCUAUUGCAUUUUUUGCAGGUUUACAAGUAGAGAAUGGGAUUGCAUUGGAUCGUACAGCUUUUAGCUAUUCUUCUGCCUGCAAGCUUAGUUGAAUUUUGGGGUGAAAUGGGAAUGUCCAUAUUACCACUAGAAGUAAUCCCGAAAAUUAUUUUUUGACUAAGGAAUUUUUUUUAAAAUAAUUAUCAUAUUAUUUAGAUUUGAAUAGUCGAAUCAAUAGACAUUGGGAUUUGUUAUACACACACACACAUAUAUAAUCAGGAAAAUAUUAAUAAUGACGAAUUACAAAAUAUAAGUCAACUUAACUUAUUUUUAUAUAUUAUCUAUGAUUAAAGUAAAAUAAGAAAAAUAGAUUGAUAUACUGAUGCUAUUUAAUCAAUUAAAAAACUAUACCAUUAUAAUUUUCUUAAUUUUGAAACAAUGACUGGUAAAUUAAUUUAUAUUUCUAGUAUCAAGAUAUAAUCCUGUUGAAUAUCUAUACUAUGAAGAAAAUGCAAUCAUAUUGUAAAUACUAUGUUUAAAAUUGAUUUUUUUUUCUCAUAACAUUCUCACUGUUUUUUUUUUUUUUUUGGUAAAGCAUAACAUUCUCACCGUUUGUUGUUUAUACAAUCAAUAAAUGAGUCUCUAUUUCUUUUCGCUACCUACUUCUAUGUCAGCUUUCCUCAGAAUUCAUCUAUAGAAAGUAACGUAAGUAACGUGAGUUCUCGCUCUAUUUGAUUUCGUUAAUGCUUGGGUUCAUUUACGUAUUAUAUCUUUUUUUAUCAUACAAAACACAAUGCAAGGGAGGGAUAUGCACAAUAUUUUUAUGCAUCAAAAUUUAAUUAAUUCUUGUCCAACUUUAUUUAUGUUUAUGUGAGCAUUUGGUAAUUGAUAUAGUAAUAGUUGUUACACUGUUUUUCUUUCACAGAAAACGAAGCUAAUUAAUAAAAAUUAUAUUAAACUAAACUACAUCAAUUUGGAUUGAGUUUGCCUUCUCCGAUUUUUAAUUUUUGCUUCAUUUAAUUUACACUGCCCACGCACUUUAACUCUUUUUCAACGUCCCAAAACUUUCACAAUAGUUAGAUGUUAACACGUAAAUUUGUAUUUAUCUUUUCAUUUUUUUUAAAUCUGAAUAAUACUUCAACUUUUAAUAGAAAAAUAAAAUUUAUUUAUUUAUUUCCAAACAAAAUGGCAUUAAAGCCAUUAAUUUUCGCAUUUCUUAGGCACGAGGCUAUUGUUCACAUCUGCCAGAAAGUAUCAGCAUAUCAGAAGAAGAGGAGCGGAUUACUAAUCACUUAUGGAGCUAAUAAAAUUUCAACAAAACAAGGAAGCAUGGACGCUAUAACUGUUUUUCCAGUAAAAUAAGUUUGAACGCACGGCGUGUAGGGAUGAAAGCUGCAUUUCACAAAAGCUGAGAGUUCUGAUUUGCCAGAGUGCAACAUUAUAUACUCUUCAGUUUGUCAUUUCUGUUAAAUGUCGAGUUGAAGGUAUCAAUUUUCUGUCUAGGAGCGUUCUUUCUCACUACUUAUUUACCAGACAAUAACUAAUUUGUCUCCACAGUUAAACAAAUGAAAUCAACCGAUCCUAAUUCUAACUAAUUCAGCUUUGAGUGCUGGCCAGUUCCUAAAGAGUGUAAAUUGCAGUCCUGAAUUACAUAAACCUCUGAGUAUAUCAACAAGCUGAUGUAUAGGAGUGGGAUUCUGUUUCAAGAUCUGAGGCCUGACUAUUGCAUAGAUGGAAGCGGAUGAGCAGGGUUUACACAUGACUAGCAUUAUGCUAAAACUGUUGGUGUCAGAUACAAAUUGCAGUGAUCGAUCAUGGAGUCAACUAUGGAAAGAACCGAUACUGAUAUGAGAGCCCCUCUAUUGUUCUCAUCAAAUUAAUGGAAAAAGGCGAUAAAUGAGAGGAGAUUACCAAGGAUGGAGGAGUGAAGAUGAAGAGUCCGGAUCAAAUGCUAAGAAGCAGAUAAAGAUCCCCUAGAUCAAUCGUUCUUGGGUUUGAGCUCCGCUGAAGAAAGACUUUUCGCAAGAUGGCCCACUCACCCUCGCUUGCAAUGCUCUUCCAAGUAGGUGAGGACUUGCGAGUUGCAAGUGUACUUAAAGCCGAUCUUUGACAUUUGAUAUAACAGAGAUGAAGGCCGAUCGUUGGCUCUUGAUAUAAUAGAGAUGAAGGCCGGCCGUUGACUCUUGAUAUAAUAGAGAUCAAGGCCGGCCGUUGAGUAGAUAAAGAUCCCCCAGAUCAAUCGUUCUUGGGUUUGAGCUCCACUGAAGAAAGACUUUUCACAAGAUGGCCCACUCGCCUUCACUUACAAUGCUCUUCCAGGUAGGUGAGGACUUGCGAGUUGUAGAUGUACUUAAAGCCGAUCGGGGGUAAGUACACUAUUAGUGCCAAAACUUGUGUACGACGCUCAAUUUGGUGCCAAAACUUUAUUUUGGAUCACUUAAGUGCCAAAUCAAAGGAAAAACGAUUACUUUAAUGCCACCAGCGAGAGAUUCCUGUCAAAAUGAUUACGUGGCUUUUAUAUUUAGAAAAAUAAAAUCGACAAGGCUUUUAAACGAUGUCAUUUUCCGUCCUCCUUAAGAAAAUGACAUCGUUUUGCCGUCCUAAAUGGAUGGCCUCACAAAAACGACGCCGCACAACUCAUUUGGGGAUUGAAAUUAGGGUUUUUUUUGUCCGAUCCUCGCCCAACGCCGACCUAGCUUACUUGGCCGCCGUCGCUCGGCACUAUUUGGACACCCUCCACGAGCGCGUCAUUGCCGAUGCUCAACAACUUGUAGUUGCACUUGAGCACAAGAUUCGUGACCGAGUUGAACCAUGUGAAUAGUGCCGAGACCGCAUCCAGUAGCUCCGAGUUGGCAUGGAGAGCGAGCCUCUGGUGGCUCUGGCCUUCGAUCACGAGCCAGCGGCAGCACACAAGGGAGCACUGGCCCCAGUCGCCAGAGCCUAGGUACUGGAAGACGCAGGGCAAGCACUCGUUGGGGAGAUCAAACAUGGAGAGGGAGAGAUCAAGGGCAGCGCACUCGUCAAUGGCCUCCCUGAGCACCAGCCAAAUCACGGCCUUCAACUUGGCCACCGAGUGGCCGUCGGCAGGGUCAGGGUCGAGGUUGGAGCCGCGGCUAUCAAGCACGGGGGCCGUCGAGGACAGCAACUGGCCCGUCACCGGCUUAUCUUCUCUCUCUCAAUUUGGGGAUUUAGAGUUUUGAAUUGGGGGAGAGACACCAAACAGCGUCGUUUUGUUAUUUAAAUGCUGAAUUUACUCUCCGGCGAGCCACAUCAGCUUCAAAAAUUAAUAAAAAAGUGUCACGUCGGAUUUCCGACCAACUAGAUUGGCGUUGGCACUGAAAUGAUUAUUUUUCAAAAGUUUUGGCACUUAAAGUGAACGCCAUACAUAAGUUUUGGCACUAAUAGUGUACUUACCCCGAGCGAAUCGUUGACUUUUGAUAUAAUAGAGAUCAAGGCCAGCUGUUGGGCAGAUAAAGUACCCCCAGAUCAAUCGUUCUUGGGUUUGAGCUCCAUGGAAGACAGACUUUUCGCAAGAUGGCCUGCUCGCCCUUGCUUGCAAUGCUCUUCCAGGUAGGUGAGGACUUGCGAGUUGCAGGUGAACUUAAAGUUGAUCGUUGGCAUUUGAUAUAAUAGAGAUUAGGCCGACCGUUGACUUUUUAUAUAAUAGAGAUCAAGGCUGGCCAUUGACUUUUAAUAUUAUAGAGAUCAAGGCCGGCCGUUGAGCAGACAAAGAUCCCCUAGAUCAAUCGUUCUUGGGUUUGAGAUCCACUGAAGAAAGACUUUCCACAAGAUGGCCCACUCACCCUCACUUGGGUGGGUGAGGACUUGCGAGUUGCAAGUAUACUUAAAGCCGAUCGUUGACAUUUGAUAUAAUAAAGAUGAAGGCCAACCAUUGACUUUUGAUAUAAUAGAGAUCAAGGCCGGCCGUUGAGCAGAUAAAGAUCCCCCAGAUCAACAUUCUUGGGUUUGAGCUCCACUGAAUAAAGACUUUUCGCAAGAUGGCCCGCUCGCCCUCGCUUGCAAUGCUAUUCUAGGUAGGUGAGGACUUGCGAGUUGCAGGUGUACUUAAAGCCGAUCGUUGACAUUUGAUAUGAUCAAGGUUGGCCAUUGACUUUUGAUAUAAUAGAGAUGAAGUUCGGCAGUUGACUUUUGAUGUAAUCCGUUGACUUUUGAUAUAAUAGAGAUGAAGGCCGGCCAUUGAUUUUUGAUGUAAUCGAGGUGAAAGCCAGCUGUUGACUUGCCAAUGAUUUGUUGGCGCAAACCACCAGAGUUCUAAUAGACGAGAAUUAAUGCAUGUUAUUAGUUUGAAAAUCAUAUAAUUAUAUUGAUUGAUAUUCUUUUAAUGACGAUGAAACCGUUCUUUUGUUGUAGGUGAAACCCUAGGCUCAUUUAAAUUCAACAUAAAUUGAAUCUACAAAUGUAGAAUCCAUACCUUUUAGUCUUUGAGAUGAAUUAUAUUAUUCAUAGUAAACUUAUAAGACUAGAGUUAGGUUUUUAUGCUCCGUUUGUUUCAUGAAAAAAUAAAUAAUUUGGAAAAAAUUUCUUAAAAAUGAUUACUUGUAUCACAUAAAAUAAUUAGAUAAUAAAAAAUAUUUUCAUUGUAGACAAUAACUUAUGCCUAAAUAAUUUCACGGAUGAUGAAAAUAACUUUUAUUUAUUCAUUUUUGUAAGCAAUAUAAAUAAUUUUUUUAGCAAAAUCCUUUUGAAAUUAUCUACUUUCUGCAAAACAUGCAUACCUUUGAACUCUAAAAAGUUAUAUCGUCUAGAAAUUGAUAAAGCUCCGAAAAAGUUACAAUAUAAGUGGUAGUUUAUCGACAAUCAUUUUUUAAUCGGCUAUAGAAUCUCAUUACGUUCAUUAAAUAAGAGAGUAUAUCUCGGAUCUCCCCUGGGAGCAUAGAAAUACAACGACUUCCAAAAGAGAUACUGAAAAUCCUAAUUCUAAUCUAAGUAUAAAUUGGAAAAUUACGUGAAAAAUAUAAACCUUAGUCAAUAACCCUUUUGGGAAGAUGUGCAUAGCACAUCAUGCACGGCACACGUAGAGCACAUGCAAUAUGCAUGGCACAUGUAAGACACAUGAAAAUUUCAACGACUGUCGAGGAAAAAUGUGUCUGGGUUGCAUAGGGUUUAAGGCUCAAAUGGGCUAAAUUUAAGAAUUCAAUGAUUUAAAGAGCUCAAUUCGAAUGAAAUUCACAAAAUCGCCUCAGUUUAAAAUUUACUACAUUGAAAUUAUUGCGGAUCAAACGCUAAGAAGCGGAUAAAGAUGCCAGAGCCGAAGGAAGAGUUUUAUUAAAGAGUCUACUCACCUUCACGUGCCAUGCACUUGCAGGAAGGUAAGGAGUUGCUACUCAUCCCAGACGCAUUACAUUUUACAUACCUUGAACAUGAAAACAUAGAACUCAUACAUAUUAUCCACUUGAGAUGGAUUAUGUUAGACUUAUUCCCAAUAAAUUCAUAGAAAAGAAUUAGGUUUUAAUUUCAAAGGCUGCAUUUGGACACGAAGGAAUAAAGCACCAAAAAAUUUACAACGAGUCUUCAAAAAUAGCUACAGUUGAAAUAUUCCAGAUGAUAUAUUUAUGGUUUUGUCCCAAUUUAUUUCUCAUAUGCAGGUAACGGAAACUCUUUCAAAAUAGACAUCUCUCCAACCUGUUCAGAAGCCAUUUGAGUUGCUAAUAAAUCAACGUUUCCCUCAGCAUGGAGAACAGAGAAAGCGUAAGUUCUAGACACAAGGUUUGCGGUACACAUGACCUCUAUGAUCUCUGGCCAAAGCGGCAAUGGAGGCAUGAGAGUCUUGCAUCAAUGUUCACCUGAAGCAAGGGGGUAGGAGUCCAUUUUGGAGGGUCGUUGUUCACAACUCGUGACUACGAGCAACGUUCCAUCACAACUCAUGGUAGAUGUCCUGUAUAUGUCGAAUUACUGAAGGAAGAUCCAUUUGGGACCGAGCUUCCAGAAUUUUGUUUCCACGCUCCCAUAAAACCACUAAACUAUUUCGACCAUAUUGCGAAAAUCUUCGCAAUAAAUGUCAGGUGGAAGGCCGAAAGCGAGGAGGCGCAGAGAUCACAUAGCACACGUGUAAAAAACAGAACCGCAAAAGAAGUUGAUAUGUCCAAGCCCCAGCCACCUCGACUCCAUACAAUUCAGGUCAUCCACUCUUCCCCUUUUGUCGGCAAAUUUGACUGAUCAACGUUCUUCGAAGUAAAAAAGCAGUUUCGUUCUAACUGGAUCUUAGGGAGAAAUAUGACCUUUACCUAUGUAUGGAAUAAAUACGACAUCUUGGCCAUGGAAUGUUGACAAGACAUCGAAUGCAUUUUGUGCAGAUCUCAACAACCGAGAGCGGAUUCUUAUGAAGACUGUACUUCUGAUUAACUUGGAGGUCAAGGACAACCAUGAGGAGGCAGCAACUGGAGCUCAGCGUGCUUUAGAUCUUUGUCGAGAGGUCUUUCACUGGCUGUGCUUUAUGUAUUAAUGAUAGUAUGCUUGAUUUCUGUAUGCUGAGAAAUUGCUUAUUGUUUCUAAUUUUCAGAGGCAGAACAGGCGGAAAUUUUUAUUCAGCAUUUCCUUCUAUUGAUGACCGUGGUGAGGGCAAGACUAUUGUUCUGAAAGCUUUAUGAUCCAUGUCGUUGUUCUGUUAGUAUUUUGACUGCAAAUUUAUAUGUCGACGAACUGAACUUUGGGUUUCUGUUUGUCCAUCUACUUGCACAAGUGGUAAUAGACUUAAAUACAUUACCAGAUUUCUUCCAACGCUGUUACUGUUUGCUUUGCACGAAGCCUUCCCUAGAAAUCUUUCCUUUCUAAGCCCAGCGAGCCCUAUUUAAUCCAUUACACAGCUAAUCAUUUCAUUAUACCCUAUCCUGAAUUUGAUCUCUUCUUAUGUCAGGAAGACUGAAUCAGGCUCUCCCAUGUUUUUACGCCUUCGCUUGAUCUUGGUAUUCCAUGCCAAUUGUUGGGUUUGAUGAGCACUUUCCUUGACUACUCGUUAGUGGUAGGUCAUUUUGCAACAAUAUCUUUAUCUGCAUAAUGAGAAUUGUCAUUCUCACGCUUUGAAUUGAAUUUGCUACAGAAUCCUAUUCUUUGCUGUUAUUGCCAAGCCUGUCAUACUAAUGCGCUGCAUACAUCCACUUUCAGAUAACACUGCAUCGAUGUGGAAAAGAAAUUCUGAGUCGAACCUUUAUCCACUCACUUUAUCUCUGGAAUGUCGACGCAUGAUGAUGUAUUAGUAAUUGGAAGCAAGCCAGUCUUGCUUAGGAGUGAAAAUUCUAUUAUUUCUUGUAGUUUCUUUUUUUUUAAGUUCCUUUGUACUGCAGAACUAAUUCUGUGAUGGUACUCAUGUCGAGAGAGCGGAAAGAAAAGGAAUUCCGGCGUAUUGUAUAUAAUUUCUUUGAAUGCGAUGGGUUGAAAACCGCCUCUAUUUUCAUUUUUCUGUAUCGUGCAUAUGAAAAGAAAAACAAGAGAACAGAACCAACCUGACCUGGUCAGUCAUUUGAUGAUUUGGUUCUGUAUUUUUGGCAGGGUUCACAAUUCAAUCGAUCCUAUUUAUUUAAAAUGAGUUGGUUUUUGAAAAGAAAAUUACUAAAAAGCAGGAACUUCUAAUUUGAGUUCAUAUGGAAAUCGUCAGUUUUCUUGCUGGCUUGUUGGUCAUUCCUAGGAUCCUGUCCUUCAACUUGCUUUCCUCACUUCCUGAAUAAAAAUUCCCUUGCGUAUUCAUUUAAAAUAAUAGGCUCUGAUAAUUUGUCGAGAUUAGCUAGUACUGACACACAAAAGUCAUCUCCAUGUAUGGCUUGCACCAAGGUUUGCAGUUUCACAUCUCAAAGGGGAGGAUGCUUUCUAGACCUCAGUGCAAGUGUCUUUUUUGGAAUGUCUCAAAUGCCAGUCUCUUGAGCCAGUGAAUUCUUCUAUUCUGCUGUUCCUUCAAGCCGGUGAAUUAUUCUUCUUCUCUGCUGUUCCUUCGGGAAGACAAUGCAGUCCAUUGAUCCGUCUGUGGAAAUAAAAUUUCUCCUCUUUCUGAACCUUCAAUCUCCUCUGCGUUAAUUUGUAUAACACCGAAUAACACCGAACGCUCCAGUUAGUUGUGGUACGCUCUACCCUUAUGCAGAUCUUCUGCUCCUUAUGUCUAAAUAGACUUGUGUUUGCAUCGUGUUGGCUACAACCCAACAGUGCCAGUGAAACUCGGCCAAACAACAGUGUGCAUUAGACACAGAAAAGAGAGCUCUUCUGCUCACGCAUUUUAUCAAAUGUUACUAUGGUAUGAACGAUGAAGAGAAAUCAAAGGAUAAUGACUCUCCAUGAACUAACAAACAGCGGCAUCAGCCAGCAUUUCCAUUUCAGAAGACAUAAAGUCCAGUUCACUCAGCUCCUCAUGGGCCUCGUAGUCAUCCGUAAUGGCGACAUACCAAUCUCACUUCAUCUGUCCUAAGAGAUCUUAACAAAGAAUAAAUAUCCUCUUAUGAGGGUGCCUCUUGUCCUUGACAAUGAAGACAUGAACUUGACCCUGAAUUUCUAUCCAGCUACAGCCGGGCUGCUUGACUACUCCUUGUUGCCUCAUCAGCUUCCUUAUUCUGACGACAUUGCCCCAUUUUUUGCUUUCCGCGUACAUGUUUGAGAGCAGAACAUAAGGUCCGGAGUUCGAAGGGUCGAUCUCUAAGAGCUUAUCCGCUACGUGUUUUCCUAGCAUUAUAUCCUUAUGAACUCCCCAAAGGACAGCAUCAGCUUGCAUGGGCAUUGCCUCUAUUAAGUCCUUUGCUUCACUGAGACAACCGGAUCAGUCGAGCAAAUCAACCAUGCACAUAUAAUGGUCCUUUACCAGUGCCAGACCAUACUCCUCGACCAUCUGCUUGAAAUAAUGGCGCCCCUCUUUGACCAGCCCUGCAUGGCUGCAUGCACAGAGAACCCUGAUCAUAGUGACACAGUCUGGUCUCUCGCCAGAUACCAACAUUUUCCUGAAUAUUUGAAGCGCCUUUAUCCCGUAACCGUUCCACGCAUAUCCAACAAUUAUGGCAUUCCAUGAGACCUUGUCCCUCUCCAACAUAUUUUUGAAAACCCAUAAACCAUCUUCCACAGCUCCACAUUUAAUGUACAUGUCUAUAAGAGAAUUUCCAACAAAAAUAUUGGAUUCUUCUCCAGACUGGAAGCGAAAUCCGUGCUUCAAGACAUGAGCAUGAGCCUGCUGCCCCAACUGCAGAUCGGCAAGAUUUGCACACGCAUUGAGAAAAUUUCCAAAUGUGUAGUGCGUCGGCUCAAUGGCUUCCCUCUUCAAAAGGCGGAAUAAACCAAAUGCUCCUUCAUUCUCUCCAUUCUGGGUAUACCCUGCAAUAAGGGCAUUCCAAGAAACUACAUUCUUCUCCAUCAUCCUCGUGAACAUUACUCCUGCAGUUUUGAGACUUGCUGCUUUUGCAUACCCGCUUACCACAGAGGUGGCUGACACUAUAUCCCUGGUAGGCAUUCUGUCAAAAACUGCUCUGGCCUCACUAAUUCUAGAGCACUUAGAAUACAUAUCAACCAAUGCAUUUCCUAAAACAACAUCAUUUCAAAAUUUGUCACAUUUUACAACAUGGGCAUGAAUUUGCAUCCCUUCCCUAAAAGCCGACAGGCUAGCGCAUGCGCUGACCACACUGACCAAAGUGAACUCAUCUAUUUCAAACCCACAAUCCAUCAUGCUCACAAAAACCUCAAGAGCUUCACUGGCUGGACCAUUUUGUUCAUAGCAUGUAAUCAAGCUGUUCCAAGAAACUAUGUUUGGAGAACUCAUUUCAUCAAAAGCCUUCUGUGCACAAGCCACGUUCCCACACUUGUACAUGUCGAUAAGAGCAGAGCCCAUAUGAACAUCAGACGAGCACUCAGACUUUGAUAUCAAAGCCUGAAUCUGUUGGCCCAGAUGCAUAUCUGCUAACCCAGCACAUGCGCUAAGCGCACUACCAAAUGAGUACUCAUUAAGCACAUAAUUCUCCCUAUGCAUCUUACCAAAACAUUGCAGGGCUUCUUUGAAUCUUUCAUGCUGCGCAUAACCUGACAGCAUCGAAUUUCAUGAGCACUGGUCGGGUUCCGGCAUUGACCCAAAUAUCUUUUCCGCUUCAUCAAGAGACCCCGAUCUGAUCAACCCGCCUAAGAUUGCGUUCCACGUGAAGGUAUUCUUCUCGGGCAUUUUAUCGAACACCCUGCGGGCGUCGUCGAGGCACCCGCAUCUCGCGUAGAUGUCGAUGAGCCGGUUCUGGAUAAAAACCAGCGGAGAACGGGGUCUUGAUGAUCCGAGCGUGGAUGCGGCGUGUGUCGCGCGCUGACUUGGACAGGCCGCAGCUGUCCAGGAGCUUGGUGAAUGGGGUCGAGGUGGCGAAGGAGAGGCCGCCCGCCAGAGCCUUGACCCGCGCAUGCCUCGCCAUUCCAUCAUAUCAUCGUACGAAGCGAACUCUGUCGGAGAAGAUUCGCAUAGAUGCAAAUUGAGUGCGAUGGGGAGUUUCUGUUGACCGUACGGGCGGGAAUAUGUUGAGAGCGCUUAUAUGAAGAGGGAAGGCAAAGUCGCAGUGGCAAAAUGGUAAUUUCGGCAUGACAAUAUAUUAAUUAGACUCGUGACCAUGAAUUAUUUUGUUGGUUAUGAGUAAAUCUAAGCUACAAAUUAAAAUGUGUCGUAGAUUUAAUAUCUUGUUGUAAGUCACUAAAUCAAGAUUAGUCAUAUGUAUAAUAUGUACAACUUAUUGCUUUAUCAACUAUAAUUAUAAGUUUAAUAUAGGAUAAGUCAAUUUUAUAACCGAGUUAUUUACAAAUCAAACAUAAAUUCUCAUUUUGAUUAUUUUAAGUAAUUCAUCAUUAAAAAAAUGCAAAAAGCAAUUCUAGAGAAUGAAAAUUGGAUCUACGCCGGAUUACAUGGGAUAGCUUUUCAAUGGUCCUCCUCCCAUGAGGAAUAGCUAACCUUGAUUUUAAGAGUAUAGCAACUUCUCUAAAGUAACUAAUCUUGAUUUACUUCUUAGCCAACUAAGGACUAAGUGUCUCAUCAUGAAUAGGCCAGAAAUAGAUAGUUUUUGUGUCGUUCUUGGAUUAAUCCAAAGUACUACUCAUUUUGGUCCGUCCCAUUUUGAGUCUCAUGGUUUUGUCCUUCAAGCAUACGGGCAAACACUUUUUCAAUAGACUAUUGUGACAUUUUUGGAUUAAUUCACUUGAAAUAUUAUCCGCUUUUACCCAUCUCAUUCCAAGUCUCACGAUUUUGUCUUUGGGCAUAUAGGUAGACACUUUCUGAGAAGGUAAACCCAUGUUAAUAAUAUUCUAGUCUAAUCACACUCAACUUUGGAGUGGAAUUACCAGAUAGGUGCAGUGCCUACCCAUAAGCUAAAGGACAAAACCGUUUGGGUCAGGAGAUCGUCUUGUUUUGGUAAGAAAAAUCAAUUAACCUUCUAAAGUGUGCGUUCAUGUGAGCCCCUUGCAAGGGAGAGCUUCGUGAUAAGAAAUGAAGCCCAUCUGAAUCCACAUCCAAUUUUUCAAGGCUUUGCAACUCUUUCGGCUUUAUGCGACCAAGAACCGUCACAGCUGAGAGUUGUCUCAGGUUUUAGAAAGGUCUAUUGAUGUUCUUAUUUCCUGGCGAAGUAGGAUAUGUAAGACAGACAAAACUCAUGGGAAGUCUAGGCAAGAACCUGAGGUUCUUAAAAAUCGAGAACAAGUUUCCUGAGCUUGCAACUCCAAGGACUUCGGAUGGCGUAACCUGUCAAUCCACCGAGGAUCAUGGAGCUUCCUCAAGCCCGUAACUGUCAUAAGAAUACCUCGACACAUAUAAAUGCAAGCUUCUCGGAUUUAAUUGGUACGGGAGAUCUGGAAAUAUGUACAUUGAGAAAAUUACAAGCAUAGAUUAAUUCCAAGCCCACAACACCGUAGAAUUUUGCCCUAAAGAUUCAUACAUUCUCUACUUCUGCAAAAAGAACUUAAAUCCCAACUGAUAAUUUCAAUUGUUCAAACAUGAAACGCAAUCAUUAAUCAUUCAGAAGCCCCUAUAGAAAUCUGUUCUAAGUCAUCAAAACGAAAGGACCUUUGUGACCAUUGCACAUGAUGACUUAUCAAAACCAAAGGACCUUUGUGACCAUUGCACUUGACCAUUAAAUAGUGAGGGCUAUGUUCAUGCUAGACAAGAUGUUUUGCCCCUACUUCUUCAUUUUCUCAAUGUGGAGAUUUUCAUGGGAAAUCCGCAACAAUUCUGUGAAUAUGGUCAUCGAUGUCUAAUGGAAUUCACGACACUGAAUGCAACACAUUGAACAUUAAUCUCUGCAAAUGAAUUCUGAAGCAAGUCAUCUUGAAUCCUUGAUGAAUUUCUCCCAUGAUGAGAUUAAUUACUAAUUGUACCCACUAAAAAUUUUAGAAGUAGGACCAUAACAGACCCAAAAAGGAAGAAAAAUUUCAGAACCAAUCGAUUAUAGUAAGUUUUCAUGCCUUCCAGGACAAUGAUUCGGUUUUAGCUAGAGUUAACAAGCUCAGAAGAACAACUGCUUCCCAUGCAUGUUUUGAACUACUUCCUAAGGAGCGAAAAUCAAUUCUCUAAUUGGUGCAGAAGUGAACUGAUGCACAGGAGUUGCAAUGUGUUUCAAUAGAAUGUGAUUUGGUUAAGGCUAAAGCUAUCAAAGAUUAGAUGCGCAGAUGGAACAAUAUCAAUUGAGUCAGCUGCCGAGUGGGUUCAUUGAAAGGCUGUUUUCAUUCCGUAUAUAUGAUAAGUCAUGACUGAAAAUAAUAAGAACUCAAUCCGUCCAAAUCUUUUCCUAAUUUAUCACUGAUUGCAUUAAAGAUUUGCACACGGACCCAAUUCAUGUAACAGCAAAGAGACAAUUACCAGAAAAGGAAUACAGGAGAACUGCGUCUAUACAGAGUUUUGAGCUGCUGGCCAACCACUGAAAUCAGGUGCGCAACCAACAUUUACUUUCUACCAUUAACCAAACUCAGAAGUCCAAGAGAUAAAAGUAUCUUAAAAACAACAAAAAGAUACUCUAAGUUGGAUUCCGCAAGAUCAGGCUGCGUCUAUUCCUCAAGUACUUCACUGAUCAUCAGCACUCAAGAGAACAUUCUACCUUCUCACGCUUGAGUGUAUAAAAUGAUUUUAGCUUCUUGAUCCGGUAACUUCUCCAAAGAUUUAAAAGGAACCUAUCGAAAGUUGCCUCCAACGAUUUUACUCUGCCUUGGAUCUCAGCCACUUUAGGACAUCACUGCAGAUAAAAUUUCUGGAGCUUCUUCAAGUUGGUCAGGUCAGGCAACUUGUCCAUAGAUAGAACUCCUUCAAGCUUGAAGGCACUCGGGCUCUCCAAAACUUGGAGGCCUCUGAACUCUCUCACUUUAGGGCAAUGAGCAACUUCCAACUCUGACAGCGCCUUCCAAUUUGAAACGUCUAUUGAUGUUUUUAUUUCCUUGCAUGAUUCGGUAUCUAAGUACAACAAAUUUGGGGCAAGGCUAGGUUGGCAGUGCAGCUUCUUGGAGGGGACCAGUUCAGGUUCCUUGAGCUGUGAAAGAAAAAUGAUGUCUGNN
rnacentral:lncRNA from 1 species